rnacentral:misc_RNA from 1 species
CAACCCUCAUGCCCCCAGUGCAUGGCGUUGGGGAUCGGCGCGGCGUCCUCCGGGACGCUGCCGGCCCCGAAAUUCAGUGGCGGUCUCGCUGUAGCCCUCCCCCGCGUAGUAGCACAACCUCGCGGCCUGGAGCUCGGCGGUGGCCAUGCCGUAAAACACCCCACUUCUGAA